rnacentral:lncRNA from 1 species
AUGCAGAAUGAUGCUGGUGAGUUCGUGGACCUGUACGUGCCGUGGAAAUGGUCCGAUAGCAACUGCAUCAUUGAUGCCAAGGACCACGAAUCCAUCCAGAAGAAUGGGACCAAGGUUGAUAAUGUCGGCAGGUUUAACAGCCAGUUUAAAAUGUAUGCUACCUGCGGGGCCAUUCGCAGGAUGGGUGAGUCACAUGACUCCAUUUUCCAAUUGGCCAAUG